rnacentral:lncRNA from 1 species
GUUGACAGCGAGGCAUGUGGUAUAUAAAUAUUGAAAUAAAUGAGCCGAAGGGGUGGGGGUGGGGGGCCGGAUGGACAGACGAGCUGGACCCUCCCUCCACCACGUGCUCUCGGCAGGGUUCUGCUCCCCAGGAUUGGGCUAGGAAUGGGGGCCAAAAGAUACGAGGGGCAGAGGGCAGAGAAGGAAGGGAACUGAAGAAGGGCCGUGGCAGUAGGAACUAACCCUAAGAAGAAGAGAAGCAAGGGGUAGAAAAUGAGGAGCCACCCCCUCCUGCCCCAUCAAAGCCUGGAGAUUAGCUCCAUCUCCAGAGGCUGGGUGGGAGAGGAGUGUCUGCCUGUGUCUCUCACCUGACUUCCUUCUUCUCAAGCACACACACAGGCACACACAGGCACACAUACACGCACACACACGCGCGCGCACACACACACACACAGUCAGCCCCCCAAAACAACAAGAGGAAGCCGCAGCAGGGGACAAGGGCUGGGGGUCGGGGCGCUGGGGGGAGGAUCAGACAGACACCGAGACGCUCCCCCACUUACCCCUCCACGCCUGGGGUGCAGGCUUCGCUUCAAACCUGCAGGCAGAUCGCCCUCUGCCCCCACGCCCUCUUUUUACCCUCUCCCUGCCCCCUCCUCAUCUCCGACUCCCCCUCCCUGUUCUCCUGCCCCCUCCUCCCUUGCUUCCCCUCUCUGCCCUCCCCUCGGGCUCAGCCCGGCUCGCAGCCUCCCGCAAACCUAACCGGGGAGGAGCGGAGCGGAGCCGGGCGGCGGCGGCGGCGGCGGCCGAGGUUCGGCCCGGCGGGCUGGAGGGCUCCGCUCGAUAGACCCCGGGCAGGCGGCCGCGGAGUAUCCGCCAGGGGGAGAAGGAAGGAAGGGAGAGGAGGAGAGAGCGAAGGAGGGAGGGACCGAGACCUCGGCACCCGGCGAUCCAGACCCCGGCGCCCCAGACGCGCACUGAGCCAGCGGCGGCGGCGGAGGAGGAGGCGGGGGCCGAGGCGGGGAGCAGUGGCGGCCAAGGCGCGGGCGGAGGAGGCAGAGGCAGCAGCAGCCGCGCUGCCCGGCCCGCUCCCGCCUCCUCACCCCAGCCCGAGGGGCGGCCGGCACCCGAGGACCCCGGUGGGCUGCCCGCACCCAAGGAGCCCGGAGGGAGGUCGGCACCCUUGGAGCCUGGGGACUGAAUGCCCGGCGGCAGUCCCCGGGGCCGGCUCGCGGCGGGCUCUCCAGCUGGGGCUGCCCGCCGCUCCUUCGUGGACCCAGUCGGCGAGGAGCGCGGCCGGCGGCCGCAACUGUGGAGCGGAGCCGAGGGGAGCGGAGCUGAGCCGAGCCCAGGUCCCCGCCUGCGCCCCCCGCCCCCGCCCCCGGCCUCU